rnacentral:rRNA from 1 species
AUGAACGCUGGCGGCGUGCCUAAUCCAUGCAAGUCGAGCGAACAGACGAGGAGCUUGCUCCUCUGACGUUAGCGGCGGACGGGUGAGUAACACGUGGAUAACCUACCUAUAAGACUGGGAUAACUUCGGGAAACCGGAGCUAAUACCGGAUAAUAUAUUGAACCGCAUGGUUCAAUAGUGAAAGACGGUUUUGCUGUCACUUAUAGAUGGAUCCGCGCCGCAUUGGCUAGUUGGUAAGGUAACGGCUUACCAAGGCAACGAUGCGUAGCCGACCUGAGAGGGUGAUCGGCCACACUGGAACUGAGACACGGUCCAGACUCCUACGGGAGGCAGCAGUAGGGAAUCUUCCGCAAUGGGCGAAAGCCUGACGGAGCAACGCCGCGUGAGUGAUGAAGGUCUUCGGAUCGUAAAACUCUGUUAUUAGGGAAGAACAAAUGUGUAAGUAACUAUGCACGUCUUGACGGUACCUAAUCAGAAAGCCACGGCUAACUACGUG